GCCAGGUAUGGUGGCGCAUGCCUGUAAUCCCAGCUACUUGGGAGGCUGAGGCAGGAGAAUCACUUGAAUCCAGGAGGCGGAGGUUGCAGUGAGCCAAGAUCGUGCCACUGUGCUCCAGCCUGGGCGACAGAGAGAGACUCUGUCUCUA
ensembl:misc_RNA Metazoa_SRP Metazoan signal recognition particle RNA